rnacentral:misc_RNA from 1 species
UUAAGUUCAGCGGGUGGUCCUACCUGAUUUGAGGUCAAGUUUAUCAAAUCCAACUCUUAUAUAGCAGCAGAACCCUCGACCAGAUGCAGAUAUGUAUCACAUCUUAAUGGAGAGGUCGUUACCACUCAUGUAUUUCAGGGGAGCAGACUAGGCCUGUAACCCCCAAAGUCCAAGCUCAUCAUGGCGAACCAUGAGAGUUG